GGCGCUCCGGAUGCUUGUCCUCUUGCUCUCUUUCAAAAGACAUUCGAGGCUCAUUGAAGCCUGUCAAGCCUGCACAAAGGGUGCUUAUGGUGGGAAGCAUCCAAAGCAGAGAGGGUCCAGUCCCUCAGGAGCUUGUCCUUCCCAGCGCCAGGGCACUCCUUCUGCAGGAACUAUCCAGGCGGGGAAGAACUUUGCGGCAGGCACCCCAAGGAGACCUGCCAGGCUACAUUGACAGCUCAGCUGAUGGAGCCCUUCCUCUAAUUUGCCACCGAGUCAGUGACCCAGCAAAGGGCAGUGAACCCUUGAGGGUGCUGAUGAUGAGCAGAACAGCCUCCAGCACACGGUUGCUGUGAUGGCACAGAGGGCGCUUAAUCCUUGGUGACUGCUCUGCGUUUCACCUUGAGGUCAAGACUGCUCUACCCAGCUCAUUUAUGCUUUUGCCUUCCAGUGAGGGCUGAGCGUUUUCCUAGCUCAAAACAAAUCCUGUUAACAAAACAGUGGUGGUGUUUUGCUGCAAGGAAAAACCCACUGCCUCAUGGCCCAUCCAAGGUUAAUCAACACUGGUGAAGCAGGAGCCCAACUAGGAAACACUCCUCUGGUCUACAAAGAAAGGCUACUCUUCCCUCUUCCUCCUUCAGGCUCCUGAUGCCUCCCAGGUGCCUCUGUUUGGGGCAGA